rnacentral:snRNA from 1 species
GUUCUAGCUUCAGCAGCACAUAUAUACUAAAAUUGGGACCAUACAGAGAAGAUCAGCAUGGCCCCUGUGCAAGGAUGACACACAAAUUUGUGAAGCAUUCCAUAUUUUU